CUUUUUUAUACAUAACUGGUUUUAUAUAUUUUUUAACAUUCUAGCAACUCUAAGAAAUCUGCCUCAAGCAUUUACUAUCAAGUUAUAUGCAAAUAUAAACAUCAUUAUCCUUCUGUUUGUAAAAAUAAUAGGAAAUAACUCAGUAGUGUGUGGCACUGAUAAAUAUAAAAAUUGUCAUAUAAAGUUUAACAUUGAUCUGAAAACAUUAAAUUGAGUUAGUCAAGUUUUGGGCACUAAAAAUUUAAAGUGAGAAAAGUAAAGGGAAAAAGUCAACAGCUGCUUGAAGAUAAAUGGAAAACAAAUGUAUUUCACAUUUUACUCUAUAUAUAUGAGAAGGAAUCCCAAGGCUCGAGGGCAAAAAGAGCUUUGGGUCUCCUGAAUUGGGCUCGUCCCCUCCUGGCUCUGAUAUGUUUAUUGGAAGAAUUGCAAGAAUAGCAGUCAUUAUUCUAGACUUCCUUUAAACAAAUUAGCGAUGCCACCCCAGUCUGGGGUAGUAAGGCACGAGCAUUAAGUGUGGUUAGAUGUUGCAAGGAUACUUAAGGAUUGAUGUAUUUGAUUUUAUUUGACUCAUAUAGUCAUACGAAUGAUUAGCAUAACCUUAUAAUGAACCCCAGUUUUUAUGUUAGAUAGAUCAAUUUUCAUAAUAGUUAUUAAGUCUUUGAAUGAAAUACAUUCAUACAUUUUAGUAAAACUACAUACAUUUUGCCAUUUUAUGUGAUUUCAAUGAAUAGAAAAUAUGACUGCAUUGAUAAAACACUGAGAAGUGCAGCCAGCACUUGUCUGUCUUUUGUCAACAUUAUUACCCUAUUUCAGACAAUGAGGGAGACACGUUGCCAGAGAUCUAGUCAUCUCAUGCACCUACUUGUGAUCUCUGCUGUUGGUUUCUCUUUUUAUUUUUUAAGUGGGAUUAAAACUUUAGCACAGCCAAAUGAACUUCUAAACAAGUUUGGCUAUGAUAUAUAUGUAUUACAAUGCUAAGAUAUUGUUAAUAUUUUCAGUUUUUGAGUGACUGAACAUUGAAAUCAGUGUCUUUUGCUUGCCAGAUUGGCACAGUCUCUCUACAGGCAUUAAUCAUUUAAAAGAAAACAUAAUGUCGUGUUGGUUUUAAAGAAACAUUCUAACCUGGUACCAAUGGCUCACACUGGUAAUCUCAGUUACUCAAGAAGCUGAGAUCUGAGGAUCAACACUUGAAGUUAGUGUAGGAAAGCCCAUAACAUUCUUUCACCCAAUAAGCACACACACACACACACACACACACACACACACACACACACGAAAAGGCAUACAUUCUGAGUCACUUAGAAACAGAAUUCCAAAGUCUCUUCCAUUUCUUCAGGCUUGACCCUUACCUUUACAGCAUGGCAUUUAUGAAAACAAAUUAAAUACCUACAUUUUUCAGAUUAGGGAUAAUACUGGGAAAUCUACACAAUGUAUUGUGAAUGGCGGGCAAUUCUUUUGAGAUUAGUUAGUGGCAAGUGGAUAUUGUAGUAGAAUUUUGAAAAUGUGCCUAAUGAAUAAAGGUUG